rnacentral:misc_RNA from 1 species
UAUCAAUCAACCAUCCAUAGAGCUUACUCUCUCUUCCAACUAUCUCAACAUGGAGCAUACUUGGUUAGUAAUAAUGCGCGUAUCCUUUGAGAGAAGCAACUCCCGCAUGGCUAGCUUGCCCGAUAGAUAACUCAGAAGGACGAAGGGUAUGCUUCUUUAGUUGGCUAUUACCCCUUCUCCCUGUAAGGCAUUCCCUUCCAGUAAUUCCCAUCUUAAUAGAAUCCUAAGAGGGAAAGAGGGACAUUCAAGAUUAGAUGAAAGGUCCAAG